GAGCACGUAGGUGGGUUUGUAAGUCAGACGUGAAAGCCUUCUGUUCAACGGAAGAAUUGCAUCUGAAACUACAAACCUUGAGUGUAGGAGGGGAGAAUGGAACUUCUGGUGGAGCGGUGAAAUGCGUAGAUAUCAGAAGGAACGCCGGCGGCGAAAGCGAUUCUCUGGCCUAUUACUGACACUCAGUGUGCGAAGGCUAGGGGAGCAAACGGGAUUAGAUACCCCGGUAGUCCUAGCCGUAAACGAUGGGCACUAAGUAGAGGGAAUUACCGAUGUUCUCUCUGCCGUAGCUAACGCAUUAAGUGCCCCGCCUGGGGAGUACGGCCGCAAGGCUAAAACUCAAAAGAAUUGACGGGGGCUCGCACAAGCGGUGGAGCAUGUGGCUUAAUUCGAUGCAACGCGAAAAACCUUACCGGGGCUUGACAUGGUAGAAGUAGGAACCCGAAAGGGUAACGAACGGUAUCCAGUCCGUGACUAUCACAGGUGUUGCAUGGCUGUCGUCAGCUCGUGUCGUGAGACGUUGGGUUAAGUCCCCUAACGAGCGAAACCCUUGUUUUUAGUUGCCAGCGGGUUGUGCCGGGCACUCUAGAAAGACUGCCGUCGUCAAGACGGAGGAAGGUGGGGAUGACGUCAAGUCAUCAUGGCCCUUAUGCCCCGGGCUGCACACGUGCUACAAUGGCCGGUACAAACGGAAGCGAAGCCGAGAGGUGAAGCGAAUC
rnacentral:rRNA from 1 species